rnacentral:lncRNA from 1 species
CGAAUGGGGUAGUAAACGGAGGGAAAUAAACGGAUUCGGGGCAGGAAACGGGGCAGUUUUUGUGAUCCGAGGCGGAUUCGGGGCAGGAAACGGUAAAAUUUUUUAUCCGCCCCGAAUCCGCCCCGAAUCCGCCCCGCCCCGAAUCCGCCUGAAUCCGCCCCGAAAACCAUUUUUAACUUCUUUAAAUUACCCCUGAAAAAUGAUAUAUUUACGAAAUACCCAUCUGUAUAUAUUGCUAUCAAUUUGCAAACCCUAAAAAAAAAAAUCCUGUGUCACAACUCACAAGACACAACUCUCACAACCCAUCCAGAUCUCCACCUACCACCCUCCACGACCGGCCGCCGCCGCUGUCGCUGCCGCCGCCAUCGCCGCCCUUUCCCUCGCUUCCGCCGGCCGACGCUGCCCUUUCCCUCGCCUCCGCCGGCCGACGCCGCCCUUUCCCUCGCCUCCGCGGCUCCGCCGAUCGCCGCCCUUUCCCUCGCCUCCGACGGCCGCCGCGCUUUUUCUCACCUCCAUCUCCUUCUUUGCCUCUAUCUACAAGUACCAUACCUGUUUUUUUUUUCUUUUCCCUAUUUU